rnacentral:rRNA from 1 species
AUUGAACGCUGGCGGCAGGCCUAACACAUGCAAGUCGAGCGGAUGAGGGUAGCUUGCUACCUGAUUCAGCGGCGGACGGGUGAGUAAUGCCUAGGAAUCUGCCUGGUAGUGGGGGACAACGUUUCGAAAGGAACGCUAAUACCGCAUACGUCCUACGGGAGAAGGUGGGGGAUCUUCGGACCUCACGCUAUCAGAUGAGCCUAGGUCGGAUUAGCUAGUUGGUGGGGUAAAGGCUCACCAAGGCGACGAUCCGUAACUGGUCUGAGAGGAUGAUCAGUCACACUGGAACUGAGACACGGUCCAGACUCCUACGGGAGGCAGCAGUGGGGAAUAUUGGACAAUGGGCGCAAGCCUGAUCCAGCCAUGCCGCGUGUGUGAAGAAGGUCUUCGGAUUGUAAAGCACUUUAAGUUGGGAGGAAGGGCAGUAAGUUAAUACCUUGCUGUUUUGACGUUACCGACAGAAUAAGCACCGGCUAACUCUGUGCCAGCACG